GAUGAAGAACGUAGUGAAAUGCGAUAAGUAAUGUGAAUUGCAGAAUUCAGUGAAUCAUCGAAUCUUUGAACGCACCUUGCGCCCUUUGGCCAUUCCGAAGGGCAUGCCUGUUUGAGUAUCAUGAACACCUCAACUCUUCAUGGUUUUCCGUGAUGAGCUUGGACUUUGGGGGUCUUGCUGGCCUAUGGUCAGCUCCUCUAAAAUAAAUCAGCUUGGCAGUGUUUGGUGGGUAUCACAGGUGUGAUAACUAUCUACGCUUGUGGUUUUCCACCAGGUAACCUUCAGCAGUGGAGGUUCGCUGGAGCUCACAGAUGUGUCUCUCCUCAGUGAGGACAGCUCUUUGAAUGUUUGAUCUCAAAUCAGGUAGGACUACCCGCUGAACUUAAGCAUAUCAAUAAGCGGAGGA
rnacentral:misc_RNA from 1 species